rnacentral:rRNA from 1 species
UACGGAGGGUGCAAACGUUGCUCGGAAUCAUUGGGCGUAAAGCGCACGUAGGCGGUCCGUUAUGUCGGGUGUGAAAGCCCUCGGCUUAACCGAGGAAGUGCAUUCGAAACUGGCGGACUUGAGUACCGGAGAGGGUCGCGGAAUUCCCGGUGUAGAGGUGAAAUUCGUAGAUAUCGGGAGGGACACCAGUGGCGAAGGCGGCGACCUGGACGGAUACUGACGCUGAGGUGCGAAAGCGUGGGGAGCAAACAGG